GGGUCGGGAGGUCGCCGGUGGGACGGUGGCCAUGUAUUGACCGAACCCCCUGUCUCAACAGGGCGCAUCGCCGUGGCCCGACGGUGGAUGCG
rfam:Xuhuaishuia manganoxidans strain DY6-4 genome.